rnacentral:tRNA from 3 species
ACUACUUUGGCAGAUAAGUGCAAUGGAUUUAGAAUCCUUAUAUGGAGAAUGGGUUCUUCAGGUAGUA